rnacentral:rRNA from 1 species
GUCUACGGCCAUACCACCCUGAACGCGCCCGAUCUCGUCUGAUCUCGGAAGCUAAGCAGGGUCGGGCUUGGUUAGUACUUGGAUGGGAGACCGCCUGGGAAUACCGGGUGCUGUAGGCU